UACGUAGGGUGCGAGCGUUGUCCGGAAUUAUUGGGCGUAAAGAGCUUGUAGGCGGUUUGUCGCGUCUGCUGUGAAAAUCCGAGGCUCAACCUCGGACUUGCGGUGGGUACGGGCAGACUAGAGUGUGGUAGGGGAGACUGGAAUUCCUGGUGUAGCGGUGAAAUGCGCAGAUAUCAGGAGGAACACCGAUGGCGAAGGCAGGUCUCUGAGCCACUACUGACGCUGAGAAGCGAAAGCAUGGGGAGCGAACAGG
rnacentral:rRNA from 1 species